UGGGAAACAGGGGCUCCAUGGACUGGCUGGGGCUGAUGGGCCUCCCGGUCAUCCUGGGAAGGAGGGUUCUCCCGGGGAGAAAGGAGCAGCUGGCCACUCAGGUCCCCAGGGGUCCAUUGGCUAUCCCGGUCCCCGAGGCGUGAAGGGUGCAGAGGGCGUUCGUGGCUUGAAAGGGGGCAAAGGAGAAAAGGUAAGCAAAUUAGCCGUCCCCUGUCUCCAUUACUGAGCUCUUGGGUCAGCAGCUAAA
rnacentral:lncRNA from 1 species